rnacentral:rRNA from 1 species
CCUACGGGCGGCUGCAGUGGGGAAUAUUGCACAAUGGGCGCAAGCCUGAUGCAGCCAUGCCGCGUGUGUGAAGAAGGCCUUCGGGUUGUAAAGCACUUUCAGCGGGGAGGAAGGCGUUAAGGUUAAUAACCUUGGCGAUUGACGUUACCCGCAGAAGAAGCACCGGCUAACUCCGUGCCAGCAGCCGCGGUAAUACGGAGGGUGCAAACGUUAAUCGGAAUUACUGGGCGUAAAGCGCACGCAGGCGGUCUGUCAAGUCGGACGUGAAAUCCCCGGGCUCAACCUGGGAACUGCAUUCGAAACUGGCAGGCUAGAGUCUUGUAGAGGGGGGUAGAAUUCCAGGUGUAGCGGUGAAAUGCGUAGAGAUCUGGAGGAAUACCGGUGGCGAAGGCGGCCCCCUGGACAAAGACUGACGCUCAGGUGCGAAAGCGUGGGGAGCAAACAGGAUUAGAUACCCUAGUAGUC